UAUUUACAUAGUUUUUCGCUACUUGUAACUAAAUGACUGCAUGCAAAGUGCAACUUGGAUGAUGAUAUCAAACACAUGUUGAGUCAUAAAACCAGCAGAAUCAGCCAGGCAAAUGAAAUUAACCGAGUGAGGUGUCUUUCAAGACUCUUUGAGGAAGUACCACAGCCUGCUCAUGUCAUGUUUCGCAGAUAAAGAAAUCCAAAAUGCAGGCGGUGGCAGAACAGCCUCUGGAUGUGUGUAAUGAUUAGUGAGGACUAUAACUCGAAGGCUCAAACUACCUGGGACAGAUGCCAAAUGCUGACAAAGGCAAUCAUUGCAUUCUCAGGGGUGAGCAAAACCAACGCUUCGUCCUUUCGCGCUUCCUUUGGGAGGGUUAUUUAUAUUCCCAGAGAAACCACCGAAAGCAUUGACUAAUUGCUUGAAGGGUCGGUCACAUGCAUGGCUAAAGGGCAUGACAAAUAGUGUAAGUAUUAACCUGUUCUGGUGUUCUUUGCCUCUUCUACUGGGACCCGUUCAGCUGAUCAAGUGUUUUCCUUGAAUAUUCAAUUCUGAGCCCUUGUUUUCCAGACUGUGUACUUGGAAAUACUGUAACUGGGAAAUAAGGUUACAAGCUGACCUUCUUGCAUUCCCGUAAAAACAAGUGUGUCACAUUUUGCGUACUAGUUUGUCACUUGGGGUAGCAAUAACCGUACCUUUAUGGGCUCUUUGUAAUUUUCUGCAUGGCAUACCCUCUCGGCUUGAUCUCUGAUUUGUUUUAUGUUACUCAAACUCCCUUUCUUUCUACACCUCCUCUCCUUCUCUCAGUUUCUGUCUUUCACUUCGCAUCCUGUGCCAAAAUGGGCAGGGAGAAAGAGCUCGUGGUGAGGUGGGUGAAACGGAGGCCGCUGUAUGUGCUCUUUCUUCAGCCACAACCCCGAGGAAGAGCAUGUUUGGUGGUAGCACGUUUCUAGGUCUCUCUCCCUGAGAUAGGCGUAGUAUGUGCAUGAGUCUUCUCUUCUCGCCGCCAUGACCCUGCCUUGUGUUCUUUGAUGUUGAAGCCUCUAGUCUGCAGGAAUCCAGCGGUCUGCUUUCUGACUGGUUGACAUCUGCUCUGCUGUCCUUGGGGCUGAGGUAGUAGAUUGAAUAGUUGUGGAGCCCUGCGCUCUCUCUCUGAGAUAACUAUACAAUCUACUGUCUUUCCUAAGGUGACAGCCAAAUCAUCCACAAACACAUGUCUGUAUUCAUCCAAUGAGUCGUGAAGGAUAUUCGCUCAAGUUAAAGAAAUAAAACGGGUUUGGACUGAUGUGUCAUGUUGGCUUCAUUCAUACUCAAGCGUGUCAGGCGAUGGGAUUGGUGUCUUGACAGGGUGAGGUAGUAGGUUGUAUAGUUUGGUGGGAGGGAUCAAACCCUGUUCAGGUGAUAACUAUACAGUCUAUUGCCUUCCUUGUUGUGCCAACUAUCUGCCAGCUAGUGGAAAAUCCCUGGAGUUUAAAUAUUGCUUAAACUUUACAGCCAGCUUCACGCCACAUUAACUAUGUAUGUGAACACAGUGUGUAAACAGUGUGCUUAUUUCAGCAUCUAUGUAUACACACUGUCUGCAUAAGCAGAAACAAUUACACCGUAGUCACCACAACAUAUGUUGAAAAUACCCUAUAAACCUGUUUGUAGACUUUUAUUAAGCAGCUAAAUAAAUAUGUUCCAUUCAGUAAA